UACGUAGGGGGCAAGCGUUGUCCGGAAUCAUUGGGCGUAAAGCGCGCGUAGGCGGCCCGGUAAGUCCGUUGUGAAAGUCGAAGGCUCAACCUUUGAACGCCGAUGGAUACUGCCGGGCUAGAGUCCGGAAGAGGCGAGUGGAAUUCCUGGUGUAGCGGUGGAAUGCGCAGAUAUCAGGAGGAACGCCCAUAGCGAAGGCAGCUCGGUGGGACGGUACUGACGCUGAGGCGCGAAAGCGUGGGGAGCGAACAGG
rnacentral:rRNA from 1 species